CAAUAGCGUAUAUUAAAGUUGUUGCAGUUAAAAGCUCGUAGUUGGAUUUCUGGUUGGAGCGACCGGUCGGGCAUUGAUUUGUCUGCACUGGAGUCGGUUCUGGCCAUCCUCUUGGAAAGUGCGUCUGUCAUUAAGUUGUCGGGCGUAUGAUCCAGGUCUUUUACUGUGAAAAAUUAGAGUGUUUAAAGCAGGCCUUCGCCUUGAAUACAUUAGCAUGGAAUAAUAAGAUAGGACUUGGGUCAUUAUUUUGUUGGUUUGCGGAUCGAGGUAAUGAUUAAUAGGGAUAGUUGGGGGUAUUCAUAUUUAAUUGUCAGAGGUGAAAUUCUUGGAUUUAUGAAAGAUGAACUUAGGCGAAAGCAUUUACCAAGGAUGUUUUCAUUGAUCAAGAACGAAAGUUAGGGGAUCGAAGAUGAUUAGAUACCAU
rnacentral:rRNA from 1 species